GGUUGUUUUUUCUUUUUUUC
rnacentral:miRNA from 1 species